AAACAGAGUUUUACUUUUAGGGGUGGGAAGAAGGCACAGAGAUUUGAAGAGGACCAUGUUCUAACUACUAUAAUAGCCAAAUGUGCAACAUGCAACAUGCUACAAAAUCUGGAGGAGGCGCUAUCCCAGAUUGUAAGGACUAACACAGAGGUCACUCCCUGGACAAGGGAAAAUGACCUAGAAGAGAGACAAUGUCAUUUAGAGGUCUACCUCAGAACAAGGUGGCUGGAAAUCUGGAUCCAAUAAUUUGUUGAAGUGAAGGGACUCUCUUGGCUGAUAAACUUGGAAUAGGAAUUCAUCCGAAGCCUACGACAACAACAACAGCAAUAUAAUUAGUGUAAAAUAUGUCACGAUACGCAGUUUCCACACCAUUUUAACAUCCCUGGAUAAAAUCUGCUUGUCUUGCUCAGCAGAUUCCAUAGCCUUCCUGAAUUCCAACUGCAUCUGUGUAUACUUCUUAUCAUUCAGCAUCUGUCUGUG